rnacentral:rRNA from 1 species
UACGAAGGGUGCAAACGUUGCUCGGAAUUAUUGGGCGUAAAGCGCACGUAGGCGGCUUGGCAAGUCGGAUGUGAAAGCCCUCGGCUCAACUGAGGAAGUGCAUCCGAAACUGAGGGGCUGGAGUAUGGUAGAGGGUCGCGGAAUUCCCGGUGUAGAGGUGAAAUUCGUAGAUAUCGGGAGGAACACCGGUGGCGAAGGCGGCGACCUGGGCCAAUACUGACACUGGAGGUGCGAAAGCGUGGGGAGCAAACAGG